GCAUGGUGCUGGAGCAGCAGCUGAGAGCUACACCUGACUCACACAAGAAGCAGAGAGCUCACUGGAAAUAGCACAAGUCUUCUGAAACCUCCAGGUUGAAAAGAAGGUACCUUGUGAUCCCCAUAUUUCCGUUUGGCACCAUUUGGUCCAUUUACCACCUACAUGGGAUGGAGAAGGAGUUGACCCGGUUGAUAAUAAAAAAGAAGACAUGCUGCUGCUCCUGAUAACAACAGUAAUGUGGUUCCUGGUUUCAAUUAUGAUGAUGAUAACACACAUAAGUAAUAUAAUAUUCCUCAGACAAAGUCAUUUGAGAGAUUAAAGGAACCAAAACGUUGGACAAGAUGAGACCACAGAAAUGGUUUAAAAUAGAUGAAGAUUUUUGUAGUAGAAAUCUAAUUUUUUGGGCACUAGUGUGUAAGAUUAAUAAAUUUCAUGCUUUAUAUAGAACUUUUAGGCAUUUCCUAGCACCAGAAAAAAAUUGAUUCUUUUUUUCCCAAUAAUAUUAAAAAUAUAUCACAUAAAAAUAACAGUUUAGUCCAACGAAAGUGCCCAAGUAAAGCUGGUAGGUUCACAGUUGUCUCCUAUUCUGGAACAAGGGAAUUUCUUUCACUCCUAAUGUGAACCUUGUGUUUUUCUGAAUGGCUAAGCAGAGAUAUAUAACUGUUAAAU